GAAAUGAUGAACUUAUGGGAACAGAGAGC
rnacentral:piRNA from 1 species